GACGAACGCUGGCGGCGUGCCUAACACAUGCAAGUCGAGCGGGGAUAUGGAGGAGCUUGCUCCGAAGUAUUCCAGCGGCGGACGGGUGAGUAACGCGUGAGCAAUCUGUCCUGUACAGGGGGACAACAACUGGAAACAGUUGCUAAUACCGCAUGCGACCACAAUGUCGCAUGGCAAAGGGGUCACAGGAGAAAUCCGGUACAGGGUGAGCUCGCGUCUGAUUAGCGUGUUGGUGAGGUAACGGCCCACGAAGGCGACGAUCAGUAGCCGACCUGAGAGGGUGAUCGGCCACAUUGGAACUGAGACACGGUCCAAACGCCUACGGGAGGCAGCAGUGGGGAAUAUUGGGCAAUGGGCGAAAGCCUGACCCAGCAACGCCGCGUGAAGGAAGAAGGUUUUCGGAUUGUAAACUUCUGUCCUUGGUGACGAAGGAAGUGACGGUAGCCAAGGAGGAAGCCCCGGCUAACUACGUGCCAGCAGCCGCAGUAACAC
rnacentral:rRNA from 1 species